AAAAAACAAAAUCUGGCCAGCUAACAGGAACAUGAUUUAUGCCCGAAUCGGACUCACAAUCUUUUAUUUAUUUAUUAUCUGCAUUGCAUCCAUCUUCAGUGUAUAUAUAUAGAGGCAGAUAUACACAUACUAUAUCAAACCAGAAGCAAAAGCAACUUAAUUACUUCCGAGUUUUGAUCUUAUCUCAUUUGAAGAAUAUGGAGUCUACUUACCCAGGUUUUUGAGCCAACUUCAUUUUUUGAUAUCAUUUAUAAUUCUUAUUUUAGUUUAUGUAUCUAUGAAUAACUUUUCUAAUAUAAAUUUUCAGGUAAUGAGUGGUCGGAGGGUUGGACUAUUCCACAUUGGCACAGUAUUGUGGAGGAUGACACUGCAAACGAUAAUCUUGAUCUUCUUGUUGUCCCUCAAUAUGGGAGAAAUCUUGACCACACUGGUUAAAUCCAAGAGUGUUACUCUUUUAUACUAUGUUUAAUUAAAUAAAAGGAUGGGUAUAGUUAUUACCUGUCAAUUAUAUGAGUUUCAAAUUUAGUUUGGGUUGUACUACUAAAAUCUCCUUGAGAUAUACAAGAGAUUUUCUAUGUUUGUGUCCGUGUAAUUUACUUUCCGUAAUAAAUAAAACUAUUGUGCAUCAAUGUGUUAAUUCACUUAGUCCAGCAAUACAUAAAG
rnacentral:lncRNA from 1 species